CCGGUGUGUACAGGUGAUCUGGUAGUCUGGGUGUGUGUCCUGCAGUGUGUGUGGUGUACAGGUGAUCUGGUAGUCUGGGUGUGUGUCCUGCAGUGUGUGUGGUGUACAGGUGAUCUGGUAGUCCGGGUGUGUGUCCUGCAGUGUGUGUGGUGUACAGGUGAUCUGGUAGUCCGGGUGUGUGUCCUGCAGUGUGUGUGGUGUACAGGUGAUCUGGUAGUCUGGGUGUGUGUCCUGCAGUGUGUGUGGUGUACAGGUGAUCUGGUAGUCUGGGUGUGUGUCCUGCAGUGUGUGCGGUGUACAGGUGAUCUGCUAGUCUGGGUGUG